GAUCAUGGCUCAGGACGAACGCUGGCGGCGUGCCUAACACAUGCAAGUCGAACGGAGUUGAAAGAGCUUGCUUUUUCAACCGAGUGGCGGACGGGUGAGUAACGCGUGAGUAACCUGCCUUUCAGAGGGGGAUAACGUUUGGAAACGAACGCUAAUACCGCAUAAGCUGGUAGGGCCGCAUGGUCCAGCCAGAAAAGGAGCAAUCCGCUGAAAGAUGGACUCGCGUCCGAUUAGCUAGUUGGUGGGGUAAAGG
rnacentral:rRNA from 1 species